rnacentral:rRNA from 1 species
AUACGAAAGGUGCAAGCGUUGUUCGGAUUUACUGGGCGUAAAGAGAGUGUAGGUGGUUUAUUAAGUCGGAUGUGAAAUCCCGGGGCUCAACCUCGGAACUGCAUUCGAUACUGAUAGGCUAGAGUUUGGGAGGGGUAAGCGGAAUUCCGUGUGUAGCAGUGAAAUGCGUAGAUAUACGGAGGAACACCUGAGGCGAAGGCGGCUUACUGGACCAAUACUGACACUGGGACUCGAAAGCGUGGGUAGCAAACAGGAUUAGAAACCCCAGUAGUCC